AGCUCCAAUAGCGUAUAUUAAAGUUGCUGCAGUUAAAAAGCUCGUAGUUGCAUUUCCGAGGCAAGGGAUUAGUCCGACCUUUGGUGGGUAUUUAAUCCUCUUGCCUCGUCCUUGAGUGGUGCUUCUUGGUAUUAAGUUAUCGAGGAGAUAGCCGCUCAUCGUUUACUGUGAGAAAAUUAGAGUGUUCAAAGCAGGCUUAUGCCGUUGAAUAUAUUAGCAUGGAAUAAUAAGAUAGGACCUUGGUACUAUUGUGUUGGUUUGAGAACCAAGGUAAUGAUGAAUAGGGACAGUUGGGGGUAUUCGUAUUCAGUUGUCAGAGGUGAAAUUCUUAGAUUUACGGAAGACGAACUACUGCGAAAGCAUUUACCAAGGAUGUUUUCA
rnacentral:rRNA from 1 species